AACCUAUGAAAAUUAGCCAGAGCCUCGCACCCGAACCCUCGUGCCCUCGAUGCCGCACGAGUCGCGUACCUGCUCCCUCCCUCAAUCCCAAGCUCCGCCGCCGCACCACAAUUCUCGAUCUGAAUCUUCAUCUCACGCCGACGCGAUGUCUCCCGAUGAUCACCAGAUUUUGUUUCGCAGCUAGGUUUCCCCCUCCCGGCGUGCUCCCGCAUGUUGUCCCUCGCCGCCCAACCCGCCCUCACGCACCACCUCCAUUGGAUCCGUCGCCUUGCUGCUGCGGGCGUGGAUCAAGAGCAAGGAAGCCGGGAGGGAGCGAUGGCCACUGGCCGCCUCACAUCGAGGUUGAAGGCCAUGACCGCUUUGUCACUGUCGUCAUGCGCUCCGCGCUGGGAGUCGCCGCCUCUUUGGCCGAUGUGGCGCCAGGGUCGACUCGGGCUGGAGCUUCCUGUGCGGCGAGAAGCCAUAUGUCUAAUGCCCUGAUCUCGCGCCGGAGCGUGCGCAAUCGUCCUCGCGCGUGGAGGCGCAGAUGCGGCCGUCGCCUCCAGGUUGUUGGUAUGGAUUUUCGAUCCAUUAAUUGUGGAUGUCAACGCCAUCUCCAUGUUCUUCUUUCUUUCUAUGUUCGCCCUUUUCUAUUCUGAUUUUUAUAUCUUGCCAACUUGAUUACUUGAUCGAAAACUUAUUACCAAUUUCAAGUUCCUACCUGGGAGUAUUAUCAGUCUGUUGUAUUCGGCAAGGUAGCCUUUGUGGUCACAUACCGAUUCUGGCAUGAGAGUGAUGGUGUCGUUCAUGCCCGAGUAUGCUGGUGUCUCUCGGCAUCCUGGAGUCCGGCACCGCCCUUUCCAGCUUGGUCACCGUUGGCAUGCAUGACGCGCUCCUCGCUUAUGGUGUGCAUGUUCAUGGACUUUUGGAUGUACAGGGUGGGCUAUGAUCAUCGCACCGACGCAAUCGCUGGAGUCCACCAUAACCACACUGCAUGCAUGCCAAUGGCGUCGGAGCAGGCUCCAUCAGCUUUGACUGUAGCGGUCGGUCUAGAUGGUCUCAGGGAGCAUCACCGGCUGGGCCAACAUCCUCUAUCGGUCGCGACAUGUGUCACACUAGGGCUAGCACAACAAUGGUUGGUACUCGCCCCUUUGUGUCUGGAGGAUCCCAAAAUACCUCUGGAUAUUGUGCUUUUGUAGAGAAGCCACGAUAAUGCCAAUCUCGGCGUUGGGAUCCAGAAAUAUCUUUGAAUGUAUGGGAUUUGCAAAAGGCCACGACCACAAUAGUGCAAGGAUCUGCUGAAGCAGUGGUUGUAAAGGCUCCGCGUGAGUGAUUCCGUGCAAGGGGAAUGAGAGUUCUAGAAAGAGGUGGAAGAUAAUCUGUUCAAUCUUUUCAAAGAUACAUUGGUGAAAUGCAGCAACCAGAUAAACGAAAUGCAUUACUCCAUCACCACACUGAUGCUCCAUCUCCCUCUGAUGGCAAGUGCGACCCUGAUGAAGCUGCUCCCCUACAUCAAGGACUACCCCAACAGUGCGGCCUUGAUGGCACAACUCCCAUACACCAAGGACUAGCCCCAUGGUGCGGCCACGACAUCACUGCUCCCCUACACUGCCGACUACAACCUGAGAUCUUAGAACAGGUUUGCAGGUUCAUUGGAAUGCACAGUAAGAAUUACAGUAAGAAGUUCAACUACGAGCCCAGACAUGAGGUAUUUUAACCGCCAACAGAGGGUGUGUUGCGCUAAAAAAUAGUAAUCUUCGCUCCAAAUUCUUAGGUCACUGGCCCAGGUUAGUGCCCAUUGUCAUUGUGCAUCUCUGUUAACUAUUUUAGAACUAGCACAAAUCUGAGUAGGGCUGGAACAAAAUGAACACCCAGGGUUCGAGUACCUCUACUAUGAUAUAAUUAUCUUCCAAACAGGUGUCAUUUCCUUAUCAAGAUGGUUCUCGUGAUUUAGGAAAACUAACAACACCUCAAUGGUCUUUGCACUAGAUUGAUGCACGAGAGCUUCUAGAUGUUCUUCUCGAUCUUGAAUAUUCAUUUUCUCCAACUAUGCAAGAUUUGCUUGUGUAUAAGUUUGAUAAGGCCAGGGGCAAGAACAAAGUGGUUGAUUCAUUGAAUGAAGUAUGCGUUAUGUACAGUCCUCCAGAAUUCAGAAAUUGAUCUAUAAUUCUGUGAAGAGAAGGUUUUCAAACCCAAAGGAGCAUUGGCAACCUUAGGGACUUGGGCGCCAACGUGUAGUCCCUGCAGAAGUUGCUCACCCGGAAGGUGGUCUUCUCCAAGGCCUCCCUAGCCUUUGAACAAGACCGCUCCAUCAAGGGUAAACCAUUGAGUGGCAAUGAUACAUGUGUGUCCAUACGACAUAGUGAUUAGCAGCAUGAGGUGCUGAGCACAUCGCGUGUGUGUCUGUAUGUGUGCGCUGAUAUGUGGUUCAUGAGGAACAAACUGAUUAAGCAUGCUCCAAAGCUACGAGCGACUGAACUAGGUAUCUUUUCUAUUUUCAUGGUGAAGCCUGGUUUUAACUGCUAAAGAAUAGCAGGAGAUGGAAUCAUUGAAAUACAAUCAAUUCUUAAGUAAAUGAACUGAGACUUGAUGGUUGUGUGUUAUUGGUACAAUAUGUAUUUUGGGCCUGAAUUGUGAAGCAAAUCGAGAAUUCCUGGUUACUUAUUAUUAGUAUAGUAUACCUUUUUUGGGCCUGAAUUCUGAACCUUGCUGAUUUUUUUGGUAGUGUGUUAUCAGUGUAGUAUGCAUUUUUGGCCUGAAUCCUUAACCUUAUCUAGGUAUUGAUUUUCUGCAAUCAGUGAAGCACUCAUGGUCAUGCGUAUUUGUUAGUCUACAUUACUUAUAGAUUUAGUUGUUUUGAUAUGUAUCCAUUCGUCGGUUAGUUAACUGAAAUUUGUUGGCAGUGGUUCUUUAUGUUCUUUAACUGUUAUACAGAAGCAGCGGACUGAAACAUUUAAAAACAAUCAGCUCUUUAUGAAUUAACUAAAGACUUGAUGGUUGCGUUAUUAUUAUAGUAUAUACAUUUUUGGGCUUGAAUUACAAAUCUGAUUCAAAUAUCCUUGUUUUGUGUUAUUAUGAUGGUAAUGUUAUCGAGCUUUGUUAAUGUUUUUUUCCUUUCCUUCCUGAACUUCUGAUACUCUCUGCACUGAUGAAAUGUUUUUGCAUGUCAGUUAAGUACCAGGGCAACCACAGAUGAUGUUCCUUCCUUUCAUUGAGUUGCCUUACUGUUAUGUCGUCCAACUUUUUGUUAAUAUACACACUCGACAACUUACUGUUAUAACGUCCAACUUUUUGUUAAUAUACACACUUGAUUCUGGAACCCAUGAACUCUUUGUCUCUCCCAGGACAUGUUUCACAUCUACUCUUGUUUGUAAAAAAACAUUAUAGUCUAUUAUGUGUUAUAUAGUCAAAAAAUACAUAAUUGGUUCUCUUCUAUGUGCUUUCCUUAAUGAAUACACUUGGUUCACAAAAGCCUUAGCAUAAUUUGUUGAACAAGUUUUGCCUAAUUUUAUUUCUUGCAUCUCCUGUGGUAAGUUUUAUUUCUUGGUACUUGUAAAAUUGUUCAGAUUACUUAGCUUCGUUCAACUGCUGUGUUGACUAAAUCUACUGUGCCUAUAAACAUACGUGCUUGCCCGUGACCAUGUCGGCUAUGUUGUUAUUCUUUCUUGAAUUGGUAGGUUGAAACCAAGAGGGCAUUGUAAACUUUGAUGACACUUUGUGGGAAACCAAUUACUUCAUGGCCAGAGGUGAUUUUGGAAUGGAGAUUUCAGUUGAGAAGAUAUCCCUUGCACAGAAAAUGAUGAUCUACAAGUGCAACCUUGCUGGUGAGCCUGUUGUCACAGCGAUUGUAGGCAACAUCCAUUCCAAUUGUCCAUUGGUUUAACUGCAGUUUUUUAUGUACAAUUUAUAGGCCGGACUGAUUUUUUUACUUGCCCUGAUGAAGCUGUAGACUAUACACAUAAGUUGCUGAUUUUGCAUGCUAUACUUGUGUAAAUGUUGUUCCACCUUCCCACUUUGUAAUUUCAUGGCCAUUUCAGAUGAUCUAGACAUUUAAUGUAUGGAAUUUACAUUGGCACUAAAUAAGGAAUAUUGAAAGAUAGUAUGCCACAAUAUCUGUUAUGAGGUAAAAAAUAAUAAUUUUCUCACUUUAAUAUUUUA